GCGAGUACAUGGAGAUGAGUCAUGAGUGAACAGAGGCGAGUACAUAGGGAUCGGUCUUGUACAGAAACCGGUCCCAACAGCGUAAAAUGGCGCUUCCUUUUAAGGCUGUGGGGUACGCUGUAAGUGGCAGGGAACACUCACCAGUUGGUCACGGCUUCUUCUGGCGUCUGCCCCUUAUCUGAAGAGCAUCCAAAA